rnacentral:rRNA from 1 species
GUGAGGAAUAUUGGUCAAUGGGCGGGAGCCUGAACCAGCCAAGUCGCGUGAAGGAAGAAGGAUCUAUGGUUCGUAAACUUCUUUUGCAGGGGAAUAAAGUGCAGGACGUGUCCUGUUUUGUAUGUACCCUGAGAAUAAGGAUCGGCUAACUCCGUGCCAGCAGCCGCGGUAAUACGGAGGAUCCGAGCGUUAUCCGGAUUUACUGGGCUUAACGGGUGCGUAGGUGGGUUGAUAAGUCAGCGGUGAAAGUUUGCAGCUUAACUGUAAAAAUGCCGUUGAAACUGUCGGACUAGAGUGUAAAUGAGGUAGGCGGAAUGCGUGGUGUAGCGGUGAAAUGCAUAGAUAUCACGCAGAACUCCGAUUGCGAAGGCAGCUUACUAAGCUACAACUGACACUGAAGCACGAAAGCGUGAGGAUCAAACAGGAUUAGAUACCCGGGUAGUCC